GAUGAACGCUGGCGGCGUGCCUAAUACAUGCAAGUCGAGCGAACGGACGAGAAGCUUGCUUCUCUGACGUUAGCGGCGGACGGGUGAGUAACACGUGGAUAACCUACCUAUAAGACUGGGAUAACUUCGGGAAACCGGAGCUAAUACCGGAUAAUAUUUUGAACCGCAUGGUUCAAAAGUGAAAGACGGUCUUGCUGUCACUUAUAGAUGGAUCCGCGCUGCAUUAGCUAGUUGGUAAGGUAACGGCUUACCAAGGCAACGAUGCAUAGCCGACCUGAGAGGGUGAUCGGCCACACUAGAACUGAGACACGGUCCAGAGUCCUACGAGACGCAGCAGUAGGGUAUCGUCCGCAAUGGGCGGGAGCCUGACGGAGCAACGCCGCGUGAGUGAUGAAGGUCUUCGGAGCGUAAAACUCUGUUAUUAGGGAAGAACAUAUGUGUAAGUAACUGUGCACAUCUUGACGGUACCUAAUCAGAAAGCCACGGCUAACUACGUG
rnacentral:rRNA from 1 species